AAACCUCUUUUCUCAAGGAAGAAGUUCUGACGGUACUUGAGGAAUAAGCAUCGGCUAACUCUGUGCCAGCAGCCGCGGUAAUACAGAGGAUGCAAGCGUUAUCCGGAAUCACUGGGCAUAAAGCGUCUGUAGGUUGUUCAGUAAGUCUGCUGUUAAAUACUAGGGCUUAACCCUAGGCCAGCAGUGGAAACUGCUAAACUUGAGUAUGGUAGAGGUAGAGGGAAUUCCUAGUGUAGCGGUGAAAUGCGUAGAUA
rnacentral:rRNA from 1 species